UUCGGAGGGGGCUAGCGUUGUUCGGAAUUACUGGGGGUAAAGCGCACGGAGGCGGCUUUGUAAGUUAGAGGUGAAAGCCCGGGGCUCAACUCCGGAAUUGCCUUUAAGACUGCAUCGCUAGAACGUCGGAGAGGUAAGUGGAAUUCCGAGUGUAGAGGUGAAAUUCGUAGAUAUUCGCAAGAACACCAGUGGCGAAGGCGGCUCACUGGCCCGAUACUGACGCUGAGGCGCGAAAGCGUGGGGAGCGAACAGG
rnacentral:rRNA from 1 species